ACCCUGCCGGCAUAAGUAGCGAUAAACACGAUGAGAACUCGUGUCGCCGAAAGUCUAAGGUUUCCUGAGGAAGGUUAAUCCGCUCAGGGUUAGGCGGGUCCUAAGGUGAGGCCGAGAGGCGUAGCUGAUGGACAACAGGUUAAUAUUCCUGUCCCACCUAGCGAACGUUAACACGAUGGGGUGACGCAGAAGGAUACAGGAGUCGGGUGAUGGACGUCCCGAUUGGUAUGUGUAAGCCGGAUCCCGCAGGAAAAUCCACGGGGUCAUUCAACGGUGAGACAUGCCGCGAGACCACACGGUCGCAAAGUCUUGGAUUUCACGCUGCCUGGAAAAACCUCUAAGGAGUACAUUAGGUGCCCGUACCACAAACCGACACAGGUAGACAAGGACAAUAUCCACAGGCGCUCGAGAGAACACUCGCUCAGGAACUAGGCACAUUAACCCCGUAACUUCGGGAGAAGGGGUGCCGCUGUAGGGUUUAUAGCCCGAAGCGGCCGCAGCGAAACGCGCUCUGCGACUGUUUAACAAAAACACAGCUCUCUGCUAAGUCGAAUACGACGUAUAGGGGGUGACACCUGCCCGGUGCCGGAAGGUUAAAGCAAGGGCUCAGCUCCCGCAAGGGAACGAAGGCCUGAACUGAAGCCCCGGUGAACGGCGGCCGUAACUAUAACGGUCCUAAGGUAGCGAAAUUCCUUGUCGGGUAAGUUCCGACCUGCACGAAUGGUGUAACGAUAGAGCGACUGUCUUGGCGAGUGACUCGGCGAAUUUGUGGUUCCGGUGAAGACGCCGGAUGCCCGCACCUAGACGGAAAGACCCCGUGCACCUUUACUGCACUCUGGCUAUGAGUAACGGGACGAUCUGCGUAGAAUAGGUGGGAGCCUUUGAUCCUCUGGUUUCGGCUGGAGGGGAGGCAACAGUGAAAUACCACCCUGAUUGUUCUGUCGCUCUAACCUACGACCCUAGACGGGUCGGGAGACAUAGCCAGACGGGUAGUUUGACUGGGGCGGUCGCCUCCCAAAAUGUAACGGAGGCGCCCAAAGUUCGGCUCAAGCGGAUUGGAAACCCGCUGUGGAGUGCAAGAGCAUAAGCCGGAUUAACUGCGAGACACACAGGUCAAGCAGAAGCGAAAGCUGGGUCUAGUGAUCCGGUGGUCCCGCGUGGAAGGGCCAUCGCUCAACGGAUAAAAGGUACGCCGGGGAUAACAGGCUGAUCUAAGCCAAGAGUUCACAUCGACGCUUAGGUUUGGCACCUCGAUGUCGGCUCAUCGCAUCCUGGGGCUGUAGAAGGUCCCAAGGGUUAGGCUGUUCGCCUAUUAAAGCGGUACGUGAGCUGGGUUCAGAACGUCGCGAGACAGUUCGGUCCCUAUCUGGUGUGGGCGCAGGAGACUUGAGAGGAGCUGUCCCUAGUACGAGAGGACCGGGAUGGACUGACCUCUUGUGUACGAGCUGUCACGCCAGUGGCAUAGCUCGGUAGCGAAGUCAGGAAGAGAUAAUCGCUGAAUGCAUCUAAGCGAGAAGCUCGCCUCAAGAUAAGGUCUCCCAAGUCCGCUUCGGCGGACUAAUAAGGCCAGUCGAAGACUACGACUUUGAUAGGCAGGGGGUGUAAGCGCAGCAAUGCGUGAAGCUGACCUGUACUAAUCGGCCGUUCGGCUUAAUC
rnacentral:rRNA from 1 species